UUCCCAAAAUACUUAAACUUUAAUAUUUUCUGUUAAUUCUAAAGUGGUUCACGGAAAAUAAGAUACGCACCUAUAAAAGAUCAAAACUCCGGAGGAAAAACAUCAGUUUCACAUAAAAAAAUAUCCCAAAAUGAAGAUUUACAAUUCAGUUUUUUUGGUGGCACUUUUGGCCCUUUUGCAUUCCCAGUCUACAAAAGCGGGUGUAACAAAAUGUUACGAGUACGUCUCUGUGCACAGGUCCAAUGAGUCUCCAGUAAUCCAGAACUGUCCAUCAUUUGGCGAUUUUAGAUGUCUUUCAGCCAAUGGUAUGCUUGGGAAUCUACAAUUCGAAGUCAAAGCAUGUGUUUCCAGCAUGGACGUUAUAAUCGACACAACUUGUACACAGGUGAACACUUCUGGUGUUGGCGAGUGCUACAUGUGUGAUUCCGAUCUUUGUAAUUUGGCUCCAGAGCCUAACAACACUGUAGCCGAGAUAAAUUAACGUCUUCUAAAGUGUAACCAAGCAAUAUUGAAAGUUUUAUGUAUAAAGGCAUUGAAAAAACAAAAUUAAAAUUAUAAUUAUAAGAUUAUACUAA